AUUACCCUCUGUUACUGAUUUAUAAAAGAGGACACAAAGCAAUGCUCUUAAUGAUAACGAGGGGAAUAUAUUAUCUCUUAAUGUCAUUCCUGGUUCCUAUGCUUAAAAUGUGAAGAGAGAAGAAACUUGGACGUUUCAGGGAACAAAAAGAAAAUCUUUGUCAGCUGCAUGGCAUUCUUAAGUGGCAGAUGCAAGUCUUCAGUAGAUGACCCACUUAACUCUCCAUAACGAGCACUUUGGUCAGUGAUUCCUCAAACCUGAAAACACUAACUGGGAAGAGGAGAGAGACUACCAGGAACAGGAAGUUGCAAACAAAAAGAGGCUCUUGUUUAUACUGCUAAUGACGUGAAGCAGCUCGACAGGACCAAAAGCACUAAGGGUCAAAGGAAGAUGAAGCUUUUUUGGAGCACACUGAAGGCCAGUACUAACUGAGAUAGGAAGACUGUGCAGACCCUCCAGAAUAAGAGAGCCAUAACCCAUGCUGCCUCACGCUUCACCAAAAACUUCUCAAGCCUCUGAAGUCAAGGAUAAUUUUAUAUGUACUCUUGCUGAAGCCUCAAUCUAACUGGAUUCUUAAAAGACCAGACAGAGUUGCUCUGUCUCAAAGCAUGAGGAAGACAUGUAUAUAUUCACCAGUAAUUUAAUAAACUAAACUUAUUUUGCAAUUAAGAUGGGUUUGGCAGGUACAAAUAGAAUCAGAUUAAUUGUGUCUGAUUGAUUUAUAAUAGUUUCUAAUCUGAGCCACCAAAAGGGAAUAAAAGGAGAAGCUGCUUUCAUUUACACAGCGCUACCUGGAGGCCAGAUUUCCUUUCCAGUAGUGCCUGGCUACUGCACUCUGCUGAUUUUGUGGAUGUUCAAAACCAGACCAAACUUUCUACUUCUCCCCAUGGCAUGGCUAAUGGGACCACCACUGUGCUACAGAGCUGCUAAAAGAUGAUGGCCUUUACUACAGAACUGUUUCAUUGAUGUUGAUUCCUGUAACUUCUGCAGAUGGGUAAUGACAACAAAGUUGGACUCCAUAAUUGCAAAAUACAGCUGAUAUUCAUUGCCUGCAUACACCUUUGUUUCUUAUCCACUGCGUAUUAGCCAGAAGCUCUCAGCUCCCAAUAGCCAGGUCUUUCCAUCUGGGCCUAAGAACAGUCACUUGUAAGCAAUCCUAACUAAACAAGGACCUCACAGCAAGGAGUACUUCCAGGAACUACUUGCAAAACAAAAAUGUGUGUACAUGCAAACAAACAGACGGUGACAUACUUCAAACUACCUGGACCUUAUAGAGCCCCAUGAUGAAGCACCAUGAAGCAAACAUAGCAGCAGUUGACCUGUGCACAGAAAGACUCUCACAGCUUGUGGGAAGAUGCCUGGUCAACAUGAGGUGAGUGCAGAGAUUGUGCUCAAUCAGUGCCUGAAGUCUUCCCAGCACAAGAAUGGCAAUGCCACAAUAACAAACUGGAGAAACCACUGCAAGGGAUCAGUCGGAGCAGCUCAGUGACUGAUCUACUAUGAACUGAAAGACAAAUCAGCCCCCUCUCUAGCUACAAAUUUACAGAGACCUAGGGCUUGCCCACCUCUUUGGGUAUGUGAAACCCAGCCAGCCCAGGGAACCUUGUCCACUUUUUCCAG